ACGAACAUGGUUACCUCAACGCCGUACUUGAUGGCGACGCCGGCGAGGGUAUCGAAGCGGGAAACGGGAUGUUCAAUGAAACCGGCAGACGGUAUCGUUGAAGAGGGUAAAUUUUGAAUCUUAUCCUUCUCUAAUAGACUAUAAUCAUUGCAAAAAUGACUGUAAUGGCCAUUCGUAUCGUAACUGUACUGUUCAAUUGUAUUGAUGCCAUUCCGCCUCUCCCUUUCCAUCAGCAUUUCCCCCGUUUUCCCUUUUUUUUUUUAAAAAAAAACAAAAAAAUCCCAAUUUUCUUUUACCCUAAUCUAAUCAGUCUCCUCCCUUUGACCUUUGAAUUCUUGGGUUUUCUUCGGGGGGUUGAAUUCAAAAUUUAAAAAAUCUGGAGCAUUGAAGCGAAGAAACCAAAUUGAAUCGAAAUUAUUUGAAAAAAAGAAGAAGGAAUAUACGGUUUUUUAAGUGAAAAAGAAAAAGAAAAAAAAACGUAGAUAUAUGGUGUGGGGGAAAUCGUGAAUAAGAUUAACAGUUAAACGGAAGGGGGCAUUGGUUCCAGUAUUUCCGGGAAAAUGAAUGAUGGAUCCUCUACGCUGUUUUCAUGAAAAACAAAACAAAAAAUAUAAUAAAAAAUAAAAAAUAAAAUAAAAUAAAAAGUUCUGAGGGGAAGCAGAGAAGGUCAAGGUAAUGGAAGGGAAGGCUAACUAAAUAUUUUAUUAUUUCAACAAAUUAUUUAUAAACUGAAAAAUAAUUAUAAUAAUAAGGUUUAAUUUUUCUCUCAAUCCCUAUGCUUUUUACAUUAUUUGAAAUUUCAUCUCUUUACUUUUCAAUAUCAAGAAUUAAUUCUUCAAACACGACUUCGGAUACAUUGGAUUACUAGACUAAAUGAGCAAAUCAAAUAUUAAAAUUAUAAAGUUAUUAUCUUCAGUAACUUUUUUUUUCUAAAUGUCAAAUAGUUCAACUUAAUGACUAUCAAUUGGACAUCAAAAUAGUAGAGGAUUAAAUUGAUGGAACUAAAAGGAAAGAGAUUAAAUUCAAAUAUGGAGAAAAGUACAGGGACUGAUAACAAACAAAUAUAUAAUUUAAAAACAACGUGCAUUUGGUACAUUAGUAACAGGUGGCGUUAUACGUGUUACAGUAGGGAAUAGGGAUGUCCCCACCGAAACCUCGGCGCCUUUUGCCAACCCCGUUUUGUCGGUCGGCUCACUCGGCGGCUGUCCCUUUGUUUCUUUUUCUGGUCUAAUUCUGGUUUUAGUCCCUCUAUGUCCUUGCUCUAAUUUGACCUGACUUGGUGUCCUUGUUAUUUGUUGUCUUUUUUGUUUUUAUUUAUAGUUCUGACUUAAAUGUUAAAACUUGAAUGGAUGAUAUUAUUAAUGAAUUUUGGUUAACUUGUAGAGGGAGGUAGGGAUGACAAGAUCUGAAUUCAUGUUAUUUAGGGACUGAAAAAGAACUCCAACUCCAAUUCCGAACAAGUCCUAGCACUUUUUGUUAAUUUUGAAUAUGCAGUAUGUUAAUAUUCAAAGUUUUAUUUUCAAAUUUUAAAAAAAAUUAUCAAUUAGAUUUUGAUUUUUUAAAUCCGCCAAAUAAAAGACUAGACUCUUGAAGUUAAAAAUAAAAUAAUUAUAAUUUUUUUUUUGAAUAGUUUAGGGGCUGUGGGGCAAAUUAGACCUAACUAUGGUCUUUUACCCUUUUUUUUAAAAAAUUAUUAACGAGACCUCAACUCUUAUAAUAUUAUUAUUUCUAUGUUGAAAUUGAUAACACUGCAUGUAAACAUUUAUAAUGUGUAGAAAACUGAUUAAAUUCAAAUUUGCAGCAUAAUAGGUGGAUUAAAAUCAAAAUUAGACCUUUGUUUUUCAUUCAUUUUGCACAAAACAAAAUUUUAUUUAUUUUAUUCUUUCCUCUCAUUUCACCAAAACCAAACGUCUCUCUAAUUUUAUUUUAUUUUUACAUUAAUCUUAUUAUAGGUUUUUAUAAUAUAUGUUCUUUUUUAGAAUGAUACAAUGUUUAAAACUAUUCAUUGCCUGUUGGAAAAAAUAGAAUUUUGGAAGCUUUGAGGCAUAUUCUUGAUUAGUAAAUGUGGAGAUUUAAAUCAUAAAAUUAUAGUUUUAUAUUCUACCUCAUGAGACCUUUAUAACGGUACAUUUUAUGCUCAAAAUGGUCGAAUGAUGAAUGAGAAAUUGAUGCUCAAAGUAAGUCACUUGUGAAUUAUGUUGAGGAAAAUGGAAAGCUUAGCCCCACAUUCAUUAGAUAUCAAAUGUGGAAUAUGUUUAUAUAUAUAAACCAACUUUGUAGUUAUUAAAUGACUAAAUUAAUGAUUUCUUUCAAGCACAAGAGGGGGUGUGAAACUAAACUUGUCAGGGUCACAGAUAUUUUGGCCUAAUAUGUAAUUUUAUUUUUCUCACCAAAGUUUAUCUCUCCAAAUUCUGCUUGGAAUUAAAAGGACAAAUAUUAAAUUGAGGUUAAUGACUCAUUUAAUUCAAAAGUUAAUGACUCCUUAAUUCACAGAUGUUAUUAGCUCCAUUAGUCAAAAUUUCUAAAAGUUCUUUUAAUUUUUGAAUUUUCUUUAAAACCAAAUAAUUUGCAGGAAAAGAUAUACAAACUAAAAUUUCAGAUAUUUCAAGAUCUUUUCCCUGCAUAUUUCGAACCUAUUUUCAGUGAUAGAAUAAGGUAAGGCUACAGUUCGUUGAUCACUGUAGCCGUGCUACUGCCGUGCUCAUCUCAUUGUUGUAUCUUGGGAGACAGUCGACCAACAUUUCUCCAGCAGCAAAGGAGCG
rnacentral:lncRNA from 1 species